UACGGAAGAUCCGAGCGUUAUCCGGAAUUACUGGGCGUAAAGAGUUGCGUAGGUGGCAGGUAAAGCGAGCAGUGAAAGAUCCCGGCUCAACCGGGGGCGCAUUGUUCGAACUCACCAGCUAGAGCAUGAGAGAGGUAGAUGGAAUUUCUAGUGUAGGAGUGAAAUCCGUAGAUAUUAGAAGGAACACCGAUGGCGUAGGCAGUCUACUGGCUCAUUGCUGACACUAAGGCACGAAAGCGUGGGGAGCGAACGGG
rnacentral:rRNA from 1 species